GACGAACGCUGGCGGCGUGCUUAACACAUGCAAGUCGAACGGAAAGGCCUGCUUUCCCUUGUGGGUUGCGGGUACUCGAGUGGCGAACGGGUGAGUAACACGUGAGUGAUCUGCCCCCAACUUGUGUAUAAGCCUGGGCAACUGGGUCUAAUUACCGAUAGCACUGCAGGGUGGUGCCUGUGGUGGAAAACGAUUUGCUAGUGCUUGGGGAUGAGCUCGCGGCCUAUCAGCUUGUUGGUGGGGUAAUGGCCUACCGGGGCGGCGACGGGUAGCCGGACUGAGGGGGGGGACGGCGACAGGGGGACUGAGAUACGGCGCAGGAUCCUACGGGAGGCAGCAGAGGGGAAGAGGGCACGAUGGGGGGAAUCCUGAUGCAGGGACGCCGCGUGGGGGAUGCCGGCCUUCGGGUGGUAAACUCCUUUCGGUCGCGAGGAAGCCACCUGGUUGGAAGGGGGGUGACGGUAGUGGGAGAAGAAGCACCGGCUAACUACGUG
rnacentral:rRNA from 1 species